rnacentral:rRNA from 1 species
AAUGAACGUUGGCGGCGUGGAUUCGGCAUGCAAGUCGUACGAGAAUCGUAGCAAUACGAGGAAAGUGGCGGAAGGGAGAGGAUUACGUGGGAAUCUACCCUCAGAACUGGGAUAGCGGCGGGAAACUGCCGGUAAUACCAGAUAAUGUCUGUGGACCAAAGGUGUGAUUCCGUCUGGGGAUGAGCCCACGUCCUAUUAGCUAGUUGGCAGGGCAAUGGCCUACCAAGGCAAUGAUGGGUAGCGGGUGUGAGAGCAUGACCCGCCUCACUGGGACUGAGAACUGCCCAGACACCUACGGGUGGCUGCAGUCGAGAAUCUUCGGCAAUGAGCGCAAGCUUGACCGAGCGACGCCGCGUGCGGGAUGAAGGCCUUCGGGUUGUAAACCGCUGUCGUAGGGGAGCAAGAGAUGAGGGUACUCCCUCUGAUUUGAGCGAUCCUAGGAGGAAGGACGGGCUAAGUUCGUGCCAGCCGCCGCGGUAAAAC